rnacentral:rRNA from 1 species
UCAAGCGAACAAGGGCGCAGGGCGAAUGCCUUGGCACUGGGAGCCGAUGAAAGACGUGAUAAGCUGCGAUAAGCUUCGGGGAGCUGCAAAUAAGCAUUGAUCCGGAGAUCUCUGAAUGAGGAAACUCACCUGGGUUCAUACUCAGGUACGUUACACUGAACUUCAAAAUAGGUGUAUCGAGGGAACCGCCUGAACUGAAACAUCUAAGUAGGGCGAGGAAGAGACAUCAAACGAGAUUCCGUAAGUAGUGGCGAGCGAACGCGGAAGAGGGCAAACCGUGAGUAGAAAUACUUGCGGGGUACGGACUGCAUUUAGGACUUAAGUUGUUAACCGAACGGCAUGGGAAGGCCGGUCAGAGAGUGUGAGAACCACGUAGGUGAAAACGACAAGAGCUGAGCGAUUUCCAGAGUACGGCCAGACACGUGAAACCUGGUCGGAAGAUGGGGGGACCACCCUCCAACCCUAAAUACUACCCAGUGACCGAUAGCGUAUAGUACUGUGAAGGAAAGGUGAAAAGCACCCCGGGAGGGGAGUGAAAAAGAACCUGAAACCCUGUGCCUACAAGCACCUAGAGCACGUCAAUGUGUGAUAGGGUACUUUUUGUAGAACGGUCCGGCGAGCGAUUGUAUGCAGCAAGGUUAAGGACUUAAGGUCUGGAGCCGAAGCGAAAGCGAGUUUGAAAAGGGCGUUAAGUUGCAUAUAAUGGGCCCGAAACCGGGUGACCUACCCAUGGUCAGGUUGAAGUGGAAGUAAAAUUCCAUGGAGGACCGAACCGACCUCCGUUGAAAAGGCGGCGGAUGAACUGUGGGUAGCGGAGAAAUUCCAAUCGAACCCGGAGAUAGCUGGUUCUCCCCGAAAUAGUUUUAGGACUAGCCUCAAGUUAGAUACCUGGAGGUAAAGCACUGAAUAGCCUAGCGGCCGAGAGGUUAGCGAAGCUUAUCAAACUCAGAAUGCCAGAGUAUUGAUGCUUGGGAGUCAGACAGUGUCAGAUAAAUGUCAUUGUCAAAAGGGAAACAGCCCAGAUCUACAGCUAAGGUCCCAAAGUCAGGUUAAGUGGAAAACGAUGUGAAGAUACGCAGACAACCAGGAUGUUGGCUCAGAAGCAGCCACUCAUUCAAAGAGUGCGUAAUAGCUCACUGGUCGAGCGUCUUUGCGCGGAGAAUUUAACGGGGCUAAACCUGACACCGAAGCUUAGGCAAUACAGCAAUGUAUUGGGUAGGGGAGCGUUGUAUACGCGGUGAAACAGUAGCGCAAGCGGCUGUGGAGUGUAUAGAAGUGAGAAUGCCGGAAUGAGUAGCGCGAAUGCAGUGAGAAUCUGCAUGGCCGAAAGCCUCAGGUUUCUGGAGGAAGGUUCGUCCGCUCCAGGUUAGUCGGGAGCUAAGGUGAGGCCGGAAGGCGUAGCCGAUGCACAGACGGUAGAGAUUCCGUCACCACCAAAAGAGUUAAGCACAGGGACACAUUUGAAGUCUCAGAGCCGGGUGUUGGUUCCGGUAGAGAUCGAGGGAAGUUAGUACCGAAGUCUGAGAUGGAAGAUGGCGAGAAAAGCUGUGUGUAUUUCUGAGGUGCCCGUACCGCAAACCGACACAGGUAGGUAGGAAGAAGAUUCUAAGGCCAACGGGAGAAGGGUUGUUAAGGAACUCGGCAAAUUGACCCCGUAACUUCGGGAGAAGGGGUGCUCCAGAGAUGGAGCCGCAGAGAAUCGGCCCAAGCAACUGUUUACCAAAAACACAGGUUUGUGCUAAAUCGAAAGAUGACGUAUACGAGCUGACGCCUGCCCGGUGCUGGAAGGUUAAGAGGAGAUGUGCAAGCAUUGAAUCGAAGCCCCAGUGAACGGCGGCCGUAACUAUAACGGUCCUAAGGUAGCGAAAUUCCUUGUCAGGUAAG